AGUGAACGCUGGCGGUAGGCCUAACACAUGCGAGUCGAACGGCAGCACAGUAAGAGCUUGCUCUUACGGGUGGCGAGUGGCGGACGGGUGAGGAAUACAUCGGAAUCUACUUUCUCGUGGGGGAUAACGUAGGGAAACUUACGCUAAUACCGCAUACGACCUACGGGUGAAAGCAGGGGAUCUUCGGACCUUGCGCGAUUGAAUGAGCCGAUGUCGGAUUAGCUAGUUGGCGGGGUAAAGGCCCACCAAGGCGACGAUCCGUAGCUGGUCUGAGAGGAUGAUCAGCCACACUGGAACUGAGACACGGUCCAGACUCCUACGGGAGGCAGCAGUGGGGAAUAUUGGACAAUGGGCGCAAGCCUGAUCCAGCCAUACCGCGUGGGUGAAGAAGGCCUUCGGGUUGUAAAGCCCUUUUGUUGGGAAAGAAAAGCAGCAGAUUAAUACCCCGCUGUUCUGACGGUACCCAAAGAAUAAGCACCGGCUAACUUCGUG
rnacentral:rRNA from 1 species